CCUACGGGGGGCUGCAGUGGGGAAUAUUGGACAAUGGGGGCAACCCUGAUCCAGCCAUGCCGCGUGUGUGAAGAAGGCCCUCGGGUUGUAAAGCACUUUCAGUGAGGAAGAACGCCUGGUGGUUAAUACCCAUCAGGAAAGACAUCACUCACAGAAGAAGCACCGGCUAACUCCGUGCCAGCAGCCGCGGUAAUACGGAGGGUGCGAGCGUUAAUCGGAAUUACUGGGUGUAAAGCGCGCGUAGGUGGCUUGAUAAGCCGGUUGUGAAAGCCCCGGGCUCAACCUGGGAACGGCAUCCGGAACUGUCAAGCUAGAGUGCAGGAGAGGAAGGUAGAAUUCCCGGUGUAGCGGUGAAAUGCGUAGAGAUCGGGAGGAAUACCAGUGGCGAAGGCGGCCUUCUGGACUGACACUGACACUGAGGUGCGAAAGCGUGGGUAGCAAACAGGAUUAGAUACCCCGGUAGUC
rnacentral:rRNA from 1 species